rfam:Brassica rapa chromosome A3, whole genome shotgun sequence.
GAGGUGAUGAUAAUUUCCCCAGAUGAUCGAAUUUGACUAUACUGAGCUGUUUAUAUUUCCUCUCAUCAGAGGAAAUCAAGCCUAUUUUCUGAACCUU